GAGGUAAAACCCUUGAUUGGUGAAAAGAUCACUCCCAGAAAGUGCUGGUACAAUGCUGACAACCUGAAGAAGGGACGAACGAUGCUCGCCUGCGACUUUAACAUCCGUAUUCAUAUGCUGAAGGAGUUUGACAAGGACACCAGGAAGGACGGCAGCACAGAAGAAUUGGUGGCCGUAACCCAACAAUUUCAGCAAGAACAACAACAGAACAAUAGCACUAACAGUACACGAGCAUAUAAAUGAGUAUGUAAGAACUGUGCUACCAGGAAUGCAAUUAUGCAGUGAAUGAGAAAGCUGGUGCCAUUGCUUGCAA